ACACUUUCUUUUUAGAAACGGUGACCACAUCCUUGAUUAACAAUAUCUUUGAAACUAAAAAAAAAAUUGAAGUCAUCAAAUCCUUUAUGAAGGCGUUAAACAAUGUUUAUAACAUCCCUUUGAGUUAACUACUUGUGCCUUGUAUUAAGGGUGAUAAUCUAUCAAUUUUCAUCCUUGAAGAUGAAAAUUAGUUAGGCCUAGAAGCUUCUAAACAUGACCUCCAUGGAAGAAUCAUAUGAUCUAAGGGUUUUAUUCCUCUCACAAUCGAGUUAAAGAAUCUUUGGACCUUCAUUGGUAAAUGGGACAUAACAUUGUUGGAGUAAGGUUUCUUUGGGUUUUUGAUCAGUGCAUUUUGAUGCACGUUCUUCCAUCAUUAUCAGCUUUCGCGAGAAAAAUCAUAUCUUGAGCUAGGAGUAUCAGGUUGAGACAUGCUACCAGUCGAUGGAAAGCUAAGAAAAAGAUCUACAACUUUUGUUCAGAAGUCGAGAGCUGAAUCAGAAUGUAGCAGUGUCAAAAAUUUCGUUGAAGCUGCUGCAUUAUUUUUUAUAUUUUGUUUGGGUUAGUUGUAUUGGGCCGGGAUCGUACAUUUGACCCGGUUGAGUUGUGAAACGGGUUUGGGUGUUUUUACCUAGGUUAGGCAAUCAAAAACAGAAUGACGUUUUUCUGUUCAUGUACGAUUUUUUGAGAGCUAGCAAGAUGACUAUGGAGAACUAAUCCCCUUUGAAUCAACCUGCUGUAAUUCAGAAUCCGCUUUGAGGUUUUUAUUAAUUCCAAUUUGUUUCCUUUGAA